rnacentral:tRNA from 1 species
GGGGAUGUAGAAUAGUGGUAAUGCACUUUUCCUAGGAUGCAUGAGGCCCUGGGUUCAAUUCCCAGUACUUCA